UGCGUAGGGGGCAAGCGUUGUCCGGAAUCAUUGGGCGUAAAGCGCGCGUAGGCGGCCAGAUAAGUCCGGUGUGAAAGUCACAGGCUCAACCUGUGAAUGCCGCUGGAAACUGUCUGGCUUGAGUCCGGAAGGGGCGAGUGGAAUUCCUGGUGUAGCGGUGAAAUGCGCAGAUAUCAGGAGGAACACCAAUGGCGAAGGCAGCUCGCUGGAACGGUACUGACGCUGAGGCGCGAAAGCGUGGGGAGCGAACAGG
rnacentral:rRNA from 1 species